rnacentral:rRNA from 1 species
GUGAGGAAUAUUGGUCAAUGGGCGCAAGCCUGAACCAGCCAUGCCGCGUGCAGGAAGACGGUCCUAUGGAUUGUAAACUGCUUUUAUUUGGGAAUAAACUCCGGUACGUGUACCGGCCUGAAGGUACCAAAUGAAUAAGCACCGGCUAACUCCGUGCCAGCAGCCGCGGUAAUACGGAGGGUGCAAGCGUUAUCCGGAAUCAUUGGGUUUAAAGGGUCCGCAGGCGGUCUUAUAAGUCAGUGGUGAAAGCCUACAGCUCAACUGUAGAACUGCCAUUGAUACUGUAGGACUUGAAUUCGAUCGAAGUGGGCGGAAUGUGACAUGUAGCGGUGAAAUGCUUAGAUAUGUCACAGAACACCGAUAGCGAAGGCAGCUCACUAGGUCUGGAUUGACGCUCAGGGACGAAAGCGUGGGGAGCAAACAGGAUUAGAAACCCCGGUAGUCC